AAAAUUUUAAACAAAAAAAAAGAAGGAAUCUAUGUGUCUGAUUAGCCAUUGCUUGCCAACAGCUCCACCAGCAGCUCAAAUCCCAGAAUUUUCCUCUAUUGAUCCUGAAGCCACCUUCUCAAACCUCGCUACUCCUGAGAGGCCGGCCCCUCAGCCCAUUCAGACAGGCAUGUGCUGACUGCACGGCCCGCACAACUGAGAGCUCACCCGGAUAAAGAAGCCACGGGCAGGAGAGAGGGAUUUGAAGGACUCCAUCUACAAAAGAACAUUUUUUCUCCUUAAGAUGCUAGGGUAAAAGGAGGCAGCCUAUGAGGCCCCACAGCCAACCAGCAGAGACCAGCUUGAGAGUCUAGAGGAGAGUACUGAAGGCUGGACCACUGAGACAAAAGAAUGCACAGCCCAGGACCACCUGCCAUCACCACAGCCACAGGGCUUAGGGCAGAGACACCGGAGAUGGAACACAACCCUUCAUUUUUCAUUCUGAUUAGUUAUAUAUGUGCCCAGGACCCCUAAGAAAACAUGCAUAUAAUUUGCCUAGAGUGCCAGUUUGAUUCUUUUCAAUUAAUUACCGUCUUAUUUAUAAAACCCAAUAUUAAAGUACUAGAAAUUUUUCAAGAGAGAAAACAAACUGUAAUUUAAUUAUGAUAUAUCGUUUGUUGUAAGAUGCAAAAUGACUAUAAAGAUAUUUUUUUAAAACUAAACUAUCUUACAAUCUAUGAAAUAUGGCACCUAGAUUUAUUAGUUCAUUUUGAUACUAAUGGUUGGAUGAAUAUUAGCUUGAAUGAGUUGUCUAGGAUGCCAUAUACCCUAAAAGUGCUUCCUUUUGAUGCCUAAAUAGGAUCAAUCCAGAUUGGCCACUGUCAUAUCAGUAAGGUGUAUAAAAUGAUGCCAAAUGCACAAAACUUUUUUUUAAGGAGAACAUGGAAUGUGUUUUAUUCAAACAUCACACAGCGGUUAUCUCUAGACAAUAUCAAACCUGGGAAAACAAAAUGUGAGUGAAGUCAGUUUGACUUGCUCCCUAUCCCUUCCUUUUAAGUUAUUUUUGGGCAUACUUGACUACCACCAUCACCAUACCUUUCAUUCGCAGUCACUUAAAAGUGCUGACAAUCAAGGCCAAUGGUUUCCAACCCCAAUGCACAUCAGAAUUACCUGAGACGCCUUUGAAAAAAAAUCUAUUCCUAAGAUUCAAAGGUUUGAAAACACAAACAUUGUUGGCCAGACUAUGAAGAAAGACUCUCUCAAAUAUUUCUGGUAGGAAUAUAAAAACACAUGCAAACCACUAUGGUGGAGAGUUGCCAAUAUCUAUCAACUGGCCCAGAAAUACAACUUUAAUAAUUUGCCCUAAAAUAUAAACUACUACAAAUACAAAAAAAAUAAUAAUAAUACGCAAAAGGUUAUUCACUGUGGCACUAUUGGUCAUAUGAAAGUAUUGGAAGCCGCUCAGGUCUAUCCAUAAGAGGCUGGUUGAACAAUCCUACUACAUCUACACAGUGGAGUACUAUUUUACAUAGAGCUAUAAAAAAGAAUAAGAGUCAUCUUUGAGAAUGAAUAUGGAGUGAAAAAAAGUGAUGUGCAGUAGAGUAUUCUACCAUUUUUAUACCAUAUGUACAGAAAUAUACAAUUUUUAUUUUGGCAAAAUAAAAAAAGAAGGAUAAAUCAGAAAUGAAUGUAAACGGUUCCCUAUCUGGAGUCAGAAAUUUUGUGGUCAUAGGAUUAGAAGAUAGAAGAGGUUUCUCCAAGCAUAAUGUUUUUAUAGCUUGGGAAGUUUUUGAGCCAUGAAAAUUUUACACACAUUCAAAACUAAAAUUAUAUCAACAGUAUAAAAAAAACUCUAAAACUUAAUUCGAACAGAAAUAAAUGAAUUCAAUUUUAUAUUAAAUGAUAAUAUGAUAAUAUGUAAUAAAAUGAUAAACAACCACACAUUUUUUUAAAAAGGUUAUUCAAAUAACUCCUGAAUAUUCUCUGUAUACCCUUAAUGAGCU